CUGAGACUGUGGAUGCAGAUGUCGUUAUAGUUACGGACAAAGAUUGAUGAUAACUCGAUUCCAUUUUAGCAACAAUGUAUUCAGAACAGAUGUUUUUGUUCUGUAAGAUUCCAGCUUUGAAGAGCCGAAGACCGCCCAGGGGCACAGGCAGGGCUGCAGAAAGACUUGGACAGGAAGACCUUGAAAGUUCUGUCCGACUGCAAGAAGAGAGGCUGGCCGAGAUGUGGUGACGAAGGUUGUAAUCAGGUGCUGUCAGCAGGGGGUCCAGCCUCCGACUGGAUGAGAGAAAAUAUACCGUGUACAUGAGUAAGUGAUUCUGGAAGGACUCCAGCUCAGAUGGAUCAGGGAUGGACAACUCCUGUUCUCAGGGGCCUGAUUGGUGUCAGACUUUCCCCCAGCCCUAUAACUAUUCACACCUGAUUAAACGAAUUACAUUUUAAAACUGAAGACCAUGAUAAGUUGAUUAUUGGAGUCAGGUGUGUUAGCUAGGGCUGGGAUAAAAGUGUGACACCGAUCAGGCCCCCGAUGACUGGAGUAGGCCAACCCUCAUCUAUUUUUUAUUUAUUAUUUAUUUUUAGUCAUUUAGCAGACGCUCUUAUCCAGAGC